GUGGGAGGCCCGCACGACGGGCUAUUAGCUCAGUGGUAGAGCGCGCCCCUGAUAAGGGCGAGGUCUCUGGUUCAAGUCCAGGAUGGCCCA
rnacentral:tRNA from 1 species